GGGGAGGUGGCAGAGUGGUCGAAUGCGAGCGCCUGCUAAGCGCUUGAGCGGGUUGUUCCGCUCCCCGGGUUCGAAUCCCGGCCUUCCCGCCA
rnacentral:tRNA from 1 species